GACGAACGCUCGCUAUAAAGCUUAACACAUGUAAGUCGAACGGAAAGGCCUUUUCCCCUUUAAAAGAGUGGCGGACGGGUGAGUAACACGUGGGUGAUCUGCCCUGCACUCUGGGAUAAGCCUGGGAAACUGGGUCUCCUACCGGAUAGGACCGCACUUUAGUGUGUGUGGUGGAAAGUUUUUUCGGUGUAGGAUGAGCCCGCGGCCUAUCAGCUUGUUGGUGGGGUAAUGGCCUACCAAGGCGGCGACGGGUAGCCGGACUGAGAGGUUGGUCGGCCACAUUGGGACUGAGAUACGGCCCAGACUCCUACGGGAGGCAGCAGUGGGGAAUAUUGCACAAUGGGCGCAAGCCUGAUGCAGCGACGCCGCGUGGGGGAUGACGGCCUUCGGGUUGUAAACUCCUUUCGCCAGGGACGAAGCGUUUUGUGACGGUACCUGGAGAAGAAGCACCGGCUAACUACGUGCCAGCAGCCGCGGUAAUACGUAGGGUGCAAGCGUUGUCCGGAAUUACUGGGCGUAAAGAGCUCGUAGGUGGUUUGUCACGUCGUCUGUGAAAUUCCACAGCUUAACUGUGGGCGUGCAGGGCGAUUCGGGCUGACUUGAGUACUGUAGGGGUAACUGGAAUUCCUGGUGUAGCGGUGAAAUGCCGCAGAUUUCUGGAGGAACACCGAUGGCGAAGGGCGGUUACUGGGCAGUUACGACGUAAGGGAGCGAAAGCAGGGCUGCCAAACAGGAUAAGUACCCCGGGUAGUCCCUUCCCGUAAACGGUGGGCGCAAGGCGUAGGGGCCAUUGGGGGUUUGGGUGCCCUUAGUUAACGCAGAAACCGCCCCGCCCGGGCAGUACGACCGCAAGGCUAAAGCUCAAAGGAAUUGACGGGAGCCCGCACAAGCGGCGGAGCAUGUCGAUUAAUUCGAUGCAACGCGAAGAACCUAACCUGGGCGUGACAUACACCGGAUCGCUGCAGAGACGUAGUUUCCCUUGUGGCUGGUGUACAGGUGGUGCAUGGCCGUCGUCAGCAAGUGUCGUGAGAUGUCGGGUUAAGUCCGGCAAGGAGCGCAACCCUUGUCCACGUCGCCCAGCACGUUAUGGUGGGGACUCAUGAGGGGCUGCCGGGGAGACCUCCGAGGAAGGUGGGGAGGACGUCGGAUCGUCAUCCCCCCUAUGACCUGGGCUACACCCGGCGUACAACGGGAGUUAAUAGACGGAACCGAGAGCGCGAGACGGAGCAAACCCGAGAAACACUCUCUCAGUUCGGAUCGUAGGCUGCAACUCACAUACGUGAAGUCCUUAAAGAGGGUAAUCGCAGGUCAGCAUACUGCAAUGAAUACGCCCCUAAAUGG
rnacentral:rRNA from 1 species